GCAGGUCAGAAAUACAUGUGACUAGGCCUUGCUAAGUGUUUUUCUUGGCAUUAGUGGGACAAUGCAGAACAAUGCCAUACUGCCUUCAUUUAGUACAUUCACUGACCCAUCUCAGGCCAGUGUUUUUAUGGGGAUCUGUGCAGACCCAUAUAAAUACAAGCCUCAGUCCCUGUCGCGCCAUUCACAAAGGGGCUGUUGUGGCAAUGCUAUUUUUUUUCUGUUUCACACAUUGUGGCCUAUCUUAGAGGAUAACGUUGUCUAUUUCUAUUAUUUCCUAUUUGAGAUCCUAGAACUGAAAGCUGACAUUUAGCAGUAUCCAGACCUCUGCUAUCAGUAGCUUCAAGGCAUUUUUGAAAUACGUGCCUCAUGACAGCCUUUAUGGUAGCCCCAGUUUGCAGACACAGAGACAAAAAAGUGCAGGAAAUUUCAGUGGUUUGAUAUGUCACUCUUUUGGUAACAGUCACCAGCAGUGUCAGCUCCCCUUCCCUUUCUGUCUGCACAGGACACGGACUCGGAGCUGUUGUUCUUGAAAGUGGAUGCAUCUCUUGACAGCUCUUCUAGUUAAUAAGCAAUGGACUAUGCAGAGUUCCACCUCUGCAAUGACCACAUCUUAAAUCACUGCCUGCAGUAUCCAUUGUCACCUCCCUUCCACCAUAUCUAAGAUGGUAAUGACAGUCCCAGAUGUGAGAAGCCUGAGCCUCCAAGUCAAGAGUUUUAGUCUCAGCUGUUGGCAAAUUGGAUGUUCUGGACAGGUGUGAGCUGUGGAGGAAAUGGAACCAUCUGUGAAAUCAUGACAUUUGAUAGAUCCAGCCUUCCUCUUGGUUUACUACCUGGGUAAAAAAGAGAAAGAAUGAAACAUUCUCCAGCGCUACAUAGCUUCAGAACAUCCUCUAGAAAAGGAGCAAGCUCUAGAAGUGACUGCACUCUCUACGGUGCUGCGUUACAAAUAGCUCCAGACACAGCUCUGCAGAUGGAAUGUGCCUUGGCUUUUACUGGUUCCUCAUUGUCCUAGGAAACAAGACAUCAAUACUGGAUCUCAGGAACAGAAGGCUUAAUAUCUGAGAUCUCAUAUUAGCAUGACCAGAGCUGGCCAAGCAAGUCAUGAACCCCAGCGAACGUGGAGCUUAAAAUACGUAGAGGUGAAAAAGAGCAAAAAGGAAAAGGAGGCUCAGCAGACAACCAAGGAUGAUGACACAGUGAAGAAACCAUGCAAUGCUGUCUGAAGAGAAACAGUUCUUUUAGGUUUUCACCUUUAGCCCACCUCUAGUCAGAAACUGGUCUCUUCAAGCAAAAAAGUAUGUCCUUUGCUGAUCACAAAUUUGUGAAGAAGCACACACCUCUCAGCAGGAGCUUGUCCAAUUACCACAGGCUUGCAGCCACCUCUGAGGAACACGCAGGCUGCCGGCUGGCCUUUUCUAGGGGGACACAAGCUGCUGCCUCAUCGCUUUGUGACUGGGCUCGCUACGAGGCCGCUCACUCAGCCACUGCCCUGUUUGUCAUCUAGCGGGGCUUCCUGGCCUUAGGAGCUGCUCGCUGUGGUAUCCGAGCCGAGCAGCCCUACAGGGUCCCGUAGGAAAGCUGUGCCACACACCACCUUUUAGGACUUCCAGGCCCUGGCGCAGGGAGCAGCCGGGUAGCGCCGCCCCGCCCGCCCCCGUGCCGUGCCGUGCCGCGCCGUGCCGC